rnacentral:lncRNA from 1 species
AUGGAAUGCGAAAAUAAUAGAAUACAAAGAAAUAGACACAGCAAGACAGUGAUAAUCUGUCUCUUUCCCUUUGUUUUUGUGUCUCAUACCCUUGCUUUCUCACUUGAUCUUUCCAAGUCUAUCAGAAUGAAGAGAAUCUCAGAAAUAGAAAGGAUUUUGGAUUUUUUCUUCCCAAGAAAGCUCCGUUUUGGCCAUCUCAUGCAUUUUUCUAGUCAAGCUCGCACAUGCAUUAAUCCCAAGUGGGCAAAGGUCAGUCUUAAACUGAAACUACAAUUUUACUAUGCAAAAAUGUAUAAGAGAUUGUUAUAUUUUAUUUCCUCCAUUUUAAAAUGCUCUUAUCUUUCAUCUGUGGUUCCUAUUCAGUAAUUGACAGUGAGUUAAGAGGAAGGGAAGAGGUCAGACAACAUGACAGAGGGAGCACUUGUAAUAAAACACAGAUACAGGAAAUUGUGCUAAUAGGUUAACUCCCUACUAAUGUGAAUAAAUCCCUCUGUGAACCUUUUCUGUGAUUACUUUCAUGAAGUAAUUAUUGUCUGGCCUAAAAGCUUAUAGUUAAAUUAAAAUUAGCAAAUUUUUAUAGAGUACUGUGGUAAUGUCAUGUUUCCUGUCACAGCAGCAUGAUACUUUUUUGGUUUUAAGGUGUUUGUUCAUUCACCCCUUCAUUCUUUUGACAACAUAUGUUGUAUGCUCAUUAUGUUCCAGUCAGAUAUGUGUAUAAAUGAUUGCACUACAGUGGGGUAAAGGCAGAUUAGCAGUUUGGACCCAGACGAAGGGGAGUAAAAAGGAGAGUGUCAUCAAUUCUGCUUGGUUGUGUAAGGAAAAGCUUACAUGAGAUUUGGUCUUGCAAGAUGAAAGUCUUAGAGUCUAUCGGGGGAACAAUAAGAAGGAACAUUACAGGCAGAAUGAAAGUUUGUGUAAGGAAUGAAAUAAUGGGACUUGUUCAGGGAACUGUAAAUAGUUCCACAUGCUCAGAGAGUCCCAGAAGCCACAGAGUUUGGUGUCAGAAAAGCUGGACUUGAACUUAGCUCUGACAUUUACUGCCUGUAUAACUUAGGUCAAGUCACUUAACCUUUCAACACCUGAGUUUUUACUCAUUUGAAAAAUGAGAAUAGUAGUAUUCACCUUAGAGGAUUUUUUUCUUCUUUUUUAUAAGGAUUGAAUAAAAUGUGGCCUUUUAAAGAGUUUCUGGCACAUGAAAAAUACCCUUUAGUUGUAAGCAGUUGUUGUGGUCCACAUUGUCUUUAAGAUCAUUGUUGCUUUUAGGAUAGAGGAAGAAGGAGAUAAAGUUGGAAGAGGUGAGAAAGGAUCAAGCCAUAGAAGGACUGUGGGUGUUCUGCUGAGAAAUCUGAUCUGCAUACUUCUAAAUGUAAUUUCACUGACAAUAACCUCUUCCAAAAUUGUAUGAAAUCCAUCUUUAAAGCAUACUGUCCUUAUCUGCAUGUUUUAACCUUCCAAUUAUGUUUAUUAAUCUCCAGUAUCUUUACUGUUCUCUUCCUUGUCACACAUUCUUUCAUCCAUCAUUUUUCUUUUAUGUUUAGCCAUGUAAUUUUAAGUGUUUUCAAAAGAUUC